AGAGUUUGAUUAUGGCUCAGGAUGAACGCUAGCGAUAGGCCUAACACAUGCAAGUCGAGGGGCAGCACAUGAAGUAGCAAUACGGAUGGUGGCGACCGGCGCACGGGUGAGUAACGCGUAUGCAACCUGCCUACAACAGGGGAAUAACCCGUUGAAAGACGGACCAAUACCCCAUAACACAGGGAUCCCGCAUGGGAAUAUUUGUUAAAGAUUUAUCGGUUGUAGAUGGGCAUGCGUUCCAUUAGCUUGUUGGUGAGGUAACGGCUCACCAAGGCAACGAUGGAUAGGGGAACUGAGAGGUUUAUCCCCCACACUGGUACUGAGACACGGACCAGACUCCUACGGGAGGCAGCAGUGAGGAAUAUUGGUCAAUGGACGCAAGUCUGAACCAGCCACGUCGCGUGAAGGAAGACGGCCCUACGGGUUGUAAACUUCUUUUGUAAGGGAAUAAAGUGUAGUACGUGUACUAUUUUGCAUGUACCUUACGAAUAAGGAUCGGCUAACUCCGUGCCAGCAGCCGCGGUAAUACGGAGGAUCCGAGCGUUAUCCGGAUUUAUUGGGUUUAAAGGGUGCGCAGGCGGGAGAUUAAGUCGGCGGUGAAAUUUUGCAGCUCAACUGUAAAAGUGCCUUCGAAACUGGUUUCCUUGAGUGUGGAUGAAGUAGGCGGAAUUUGUGGUGUAGCGGUGAAAUGCAUAGAUAUCACGAGGAACUCCGAUUGCGCAGGCAGCUUACUAAACCAUAACUGACGCUCAGGCACGAAGGCGUGGGGAUCAAACAGGAUUAGAUACCCUGGUAGUC
rnacentral:rRNA from 1 species